AACGAACGCUUGCUGCAUGCCUUAUACAUGCAAGUCGAACGGAGGCCCUAUCUUGCUAGGUGUCCUUAGUGGCGCACGGGUGAGUAACACGUGGGAACAUACCUCAUAGUACGGAAUAACUGCGGGAAACUGUAGCUAAUACCGUAUAUUCCAGUAAUGGGAAAGAUUUAUCGCUAUGAGAUUGGCCCGCGCAAGAUUAGUUUGUUGGUAAGGUAAUGGCUUACCAAGGCUACGAUCUUUAGCUGGUUUGAGAGGAUGAUCAGCCACACUGGGACUGACACACGGCCCAGACUCCUACGGGAGGCAGCAGUAGGGAAUAUUGGACAAUGGGGGCAACCCUGAUCCAUCAAUGCAGCGCGAGUGACGAAGGCCUUAGGGUUGUAAAACUCUUUCAUCGGUGAGGAUAAUGACAGUACCCCAAGAAUAAGGACCGGCUAAUUCCUUGCCAGCAGCCGCGGUAAUACGGAAGGUCCUAGCGUUGUUCGGAAUUACUGGGCGUAAAGCGCAUGUAGGCGGAACAGAAAGUUAGAAGUGAAAUCCCUGGGCUCAACCUAGGAAUUGCUUUUAAAACUUCUGUUCUGGAAUUCAGGAGAGGAAAAUGGAAUAUCCAGUGUAGAGGUGAAAUUCGUAGAUAUUGGAUGGAACACCAGUGGCGAAGGCGAUUUUCUGGACUGAUAUUGACGCUGAGAUGCGAAGGCAUGGGUAGCAAACGGGAUUAGAUACCCCGGUAGUCCAUGCAGUAAACGAUGGGUGCUAGUCGUCGGACUUAUGUUCGGUGUCGUAGCUAACGCGUUAAGCACCCCGCCUGGGGAGUACGGUCGCAAGAUUAAAACUCAAAUAAAUUGACGGGGACCCGCACAAGCAGUGGAGCAUGUGGUUUAAUUCGACGCAACGCGAAGAACCUUACCAGCGUUUGACAUGGGAAGUACCGGUUACAGAAUGGUAACCUUCAGUUCGGCUGGCUUCUACACAGGUGCUGCAUGGCUGUCGUCAGCUCGUGUCGUGAGAUGUUGGGUUAAGUCCCGCAACGAGCGCAACCCUUAUCGUUAGUUACUAACAGUUCGGCUGAGGACUCUAGCGAAACUGCCGGUGAUAAGCCGGAGGAAGGUGGGGAUGACGUCAAGUCCUCAUGGCCCUUACACGCUGGGCUACACACGUGCUACAAUGGUAACUACAACGGGACGCAAUACCGCGAGGUGGAGCAAAUCCCCAAAAGUUAUCUCAGUUCGGAUUGCACUCUGCAACUCGAGUGCAUGAAGUUGGAAUUGCUAGUAAUCGCGGAUCAGCAUGCCGCGGUGAAUACGUUCCCGGGUCU
rnacentral:rRNA from 1 species